UAAUGUUGACUCGUCCUCUUAAUGUCAGGCACAGUCUUUCUCAAGCACUGUCCUCUCAAAUAUGUCAAAUAAUCCACAAUAAUCGUUUCGCGCGAUGUCUUAAAUAGCUAUACGUGUCCUAUAAAUCCAUAAUUUAUGCCGACAAGAUCAUUCACAAGCAUCUUGCCACAUAAGUGAAACGUCGAGAACCUAAAUAUACAAAAUAUCAAAACUUAACCUAAUCGCUCUUAACCGAAUUCCAUUUCCAACUUCAACUCCAACUCCAACUCAAAAACUAACUCUAUAUGUAACACGCCCAAAAUAUAACUAAACAAGAACUUAUUGUAAUGCUACAUAGCUACGUAAAUUUACAUAAUAAUAGUGAAUACAAAAUAUAUUAGUCCCAAGAUUAAUUACAUAAACUGAAUAAUGAUACUAAAAAUCCCAAAAGAAAUAGUUAAUGAAUCUAAAGGUGCAAUUAGAAAACAAAAGGAAUUAUAAACAAUCGAAUGUGCGAACGGUGAUAAAAUUAUUAAGGUUACAGGAUGCAAAACAAAAGAAAUCCAAACUAGCACUAUUACAGGGGGGAGCGGAUCCCCGCGCUUCCACGGUCCCGGGUUAUAUCAGUUGCAUUAUGGGAAAAGUGAAUCAUUCCCAGGUCCCAACUUCUUUCGGCAGAUCAUCUGGACAAAAUGGCGUCUUUCGGAGAAACGUCUUUGAGAAACAUUGGCUCAUAUAUUGCCAAAAAUGGAUCUUUGUCAAAUGCCGUUGAUGCGAUUUCAAGAUCAGUAACUAGAUAUCAAGCGAAGUAUAUUCAUUGCAAGAACGCACGAAUGACUCCGUUUUGGCACGCAGUUGGUCUCUGCAUUGCGUUGAAUUAUUACAUAGAGUACCCACAUUUGAAAAAACAUGCAAGACACAGAAAAUAUCAUUGAAAGUAUGGAGUAAUUGUCUCCCAAGUGCAGAUGUCAACCAAGUGUGCAUGAUGGUUAUGAAGAACUUUUGAAUGUUAUAUGUGUAUUUCUCAUUUUUCAAUGAAGUAUGUUAAAAAUGAUCUA